CAGCUGGGGGCCACCCUUAGCUCCUAGAGGCCUCUCUCAAGUCCUUGCACUUGGCUCCCACAUCUCAGAGCCAGCAAAGACACACUGAAUCCCUCUCAAAACUGGACGUCCCCUUCUGCUGCUUCUGUCUCCGUCCGGAGCAAGUUCCCUGCUUUUUAAGGGCUCAGAUGAUUAGAUUGGGCCCACCUGGAUAAUCUCCCCGUCUUAAGUGUGCUGAAACUUCUCCACUGGACUACUGAACUCCCAUAAAAGCUGUCUUCUCCAGAUUCCCGAGACUCUGAGGUCAUAUUCAGGAUGUCAGGAGCUUCCCACUGCAGCACCUAACCUCGACAGGAUCACCACAGAUGGCACCUUUUCCUCCAAACUCAUCCCUUUGAAACUGACAUGCUCCUUGUCUCCCUCACUCUCAGUGAGCUGCCCUCCUGGAAAGCAGACCAAUACAAUAGUAAUGAAACUAUCUUCCACAUUGUCAAGUGGGCUUUGCUGUACGAAAAUCAACGUCUUGUCCAUUAUCUCCAGUGAUCCCAACCUCAGUCCUGUAGAAAUAUGUGAGGA
rnacentral:lncRNA from 1 species